rnacentral:rRNA from 1 species
UAGUAAUCGCGGAUCAGCAUGCCGCGGUGAAUACGUUCCCGGGCCUUGUACACACCGCCCGUCACACCAUGAGAGUCGGGAACACCCGAAGUCCGUAGUCUAACCGCAAGGAGGACGCGGCCGAAGGUGGGCUUGAUAAUUGGGGUGAAGUCGUAACAAGGUAGC